UGAUGUUCAUGAGGCUUCUCUUCUGGCAC
rnacentral:piRNA from 1 species